rnacentral:rRNA from 1 species
GACGAACGCUGGCGGCGUGCUUAGCACAUGCAAGUCGAACGGAAAGGCCCUGCUUUUGUGGGGUGCUCGAGUGGCGAACGGGUGAGUAACACGUGAGUAACCUGCCCUUGACUUUGGGAUAACUUCAGGAAACUGGGGCUAAUACCGGAUAGGAGCUCCUGCUGCAUGGUGGGGGUUGGAAAGUUUCGGCGGUUGGGGAUGGACUCGCGGCUUAUCAGCUUGUUGGUGGGGUAGUGGCUUAUCAAGGCUUUGACGGGUAGCCGGCCUGAGAGGGUGACCGGCCACAUUGGGACUGAGAUACGGCCCAGACUCCUACGGGAGGCAGAAGUGGGGAAUAUUGCACAAUGGGCGGAAGCCUGAUGCAGCAACGCCGCGUGCGGGAUGACGGCCUUCGGGUUGUAAACCGCUUUCGCCUGUGACGAAGCGUGAGUGACGGUAAUGGGUAAAGAAGCACCGGCUAACUACGUG